GAGCUCAAAACACUGCAGAUGUGGUGAUCCUGGUUCUCCUUUAGGACCUGUGCUCAUGACCAGACAGAUGUGCAAAGCAGAUAUAAAGGUACUUCGUGCACAGUCCUGAGGCAAUGCCAGGAGCCUUAGCACAGUAAAAGUCCUCUGCAAGUGAGCUCCGAUGGCUCUCAGCUCUUUGUCAACCACCCCGCAUAGAGUGGGAAUAAAUUGAGUGCCUCACGAACGAGUGCAGUCAAGCACCACUGGUAUCUCCUGCUUGCCACAGAACGCUGCAGAAGAUUCUGCUGAAUUUCAUCUUUCUCUGACAAAGUGAAAGGGAAAAGAAGGACUCCAAGCUCUCCAGGAGGAUGUCUGCAGCAUGGCUGGAGUGCUCCUUGGUGUCCCCACCCCUGGGCCCACACCAAGUGCCCCAUUCCCAUCUGAGUGCCUAAGGGAAAUGCUGCCUGUGGGCCAGGAAAGCACUGUGUAAGGAGAAGUGGAAGGUUUCCAGCUCCCAAAAAGCGAGUGGUGAGCAUUUCCAAAGGAGCGUAAAAACACUUUGAAGUUCAGCCCAUGAGUUAAUAACCUGCUUUUGGGGGAUGCUUUCAAAUCACAUCCCUAAGGACCAAGCUGCACUUAAUUUUACUAAACAUGGACAUGCAAGGUGCAGCGAGGAUCACCAGGAUGUCCCUCCCACAGAGAUGUGCUGUGACAGGAGAGCUGCACAACCUGCUAGCUUAUGGGCAGGAUAACAGCCCCACAUCCCCAGCAGCCCCACAGACACAGCAGGAGACCAGAUAGCAAAGCAGCACUGAGGCUGCACGGGUCCAGUGAUGCGCGGGGAUCCCCUCUGCAGCAUGGUGUGCACUAAGCCUCCAAAGCUGACAUCCCUUUGAAAGCCCUCUUAAUAUAUCCAAUUAUAGAUUUUCAGCAACUUUGAGGAAUGUUGGCUUUCCCAGCAGCUGACCUCAGAAAACACCAUUGAAACCACGAGGGAUUUUGCUGUUGAGCUCAGUGGGGGAGGAUCAGGUCCUACAUAAUUUUAUUGUCAGCAAUGAUGACCUCUCUUCACAAAUGAAGAAAGCCCCUCCUGAACCAUGCCCUUCAAAAUGCAAACUGUUUAUUUUUAUAGCUGGAUCCUUCCCCGAGUGGGAUAUUCGUGCAUGGUUAACUUAUCCUGGGCUUUAAAUGCUUGCCAAGUGGCUUUAAUAGCAGGAUGUUGUUUAGAAAGAUUGGGAAGGAUUGCAGGCAGCAAUAGAGAUAAUUGCCAAGGAGAGAUAAAUGAAUCUUCAAUCUCAGACCAAGUUGGCUUUAUUGUUGGGUCAGGAGGGAAGGUCCAGAAAAAUCCCUCGUCUGCAACUAAACCUGUAAUGAUAGUUUGGGAUUUAGGGAAGCUGGCAGCUGUCGAGAUUUUCCUAUAAAAGCAUCUUUUGAGACUUAAGACAGGUUUGCAAUUCCAUAUAAAGGCACGAAAGCCCUGUUUGGCUGCAGGAAUUUAGCACUGCGUGAUCCAGAAAGCUGGAGGUGAGUUUUGGGGAGAGUAGCAGUCGGUGAGGCCCCGCAUGUUAUUCAUCCUGUGGGCAGGGAGAGGCCAAGCACCAUCCUCCUACCAGACAUUAUCCCACCCCAUCAUGCAGAAUUAAGGUGCUUCACAGCAUGGCAGCUUGGCAGCUCAGCUUGUUUCCAAAACAAGUCGCCCAAAAUGAAGCUGAGGCAAAACCACUCCAACAUAUGAAAAAUAUGGAAGAAUCUUAGAAACAUUAAGGUUGGAAAAGACCUCUGAGAUCAUCCAGUCCAGCCCCAACCCACCCACGUCAUUGCCCACUAACCACGUCCCUCAGUGCCGUGUCUUGAACACCUCCAGGGACAGUGACUUCAGCACCUCCCAGGGCAGCCUGUGCCACUGCAUUGCCACUCUUUCUGAGGAGGAAUUUUUUUCCUAAUAUCCAUCCCAACUGUUCCUAAUACCCAACCUGAAGAAAGCUCCAUUUGUGAACACAUCACACGACAGGACAGCAUCCCCGAAGCGCUGGUUCAGUUCCCCAGCCCGGGGCUGCAUUCCCAGCCAGCCUGCAGCCCCACUUGAGGAGCAGCCACCCCAGCCCCCAGCCCACCCAGCCCAUCCACACAGGGACGUGCUCACACUUGGUGCAUUGCUCGGAGUUUUGGGGCUGAGGCGCGUUCCUGUGGCUGACACCCAGCCCGGCCUGCCCGUUCCUGCGCAUCCCAGUGCAGGGCUGUCAUGGCUCAUUACCUGUCUGUCUGAGGUUCAAGCCUGGGUGACUUCUAAUUUUUUGAAGCUUAAUGCUGGGAAAACAGAAUUGGUUCAGUUCACCUCCUGGAUAUGUGUGUUUAUGAUGUACAACGUGAUACCGUGCACAGCCUCCCAGCUGCUCUCAUUGCUGAAAAAUGGCCCUGCUUUAUCUGUAACUGACCUUUCUAACAGCGUACCCACUCCGUGUGAUGAGGGAACGCAUCCCCAGCGUUACUCCAGAGCCUGGGUGCCAUUUGAUCCUGCUCUGUCCAGGCCCACAGCCCACAGUGACUGCAAGCCCCUUGCUGCGCCGUUCUCAGCUGCUUUACAAGGCUGCAGCUAAUGUCAUAACAAGAAUUAAACUGUCUCAUCCUAUUACGCCCAUCGUAGCUGACUUCACUGCCUAUUAAGGUGACAGUGCAGUGAUUUGAAAUUUGUGUUAAUUGUUUACCCCGUGUUGCCGAGGCCUUCUUGGGGUGUGUGCAGCAGCCUGAAGGCUUCCUCUGGCCACGGAUUAUCUGUGUAUUCUACUUUAUAUGGACUCACAGAGAAUACCCUCAUAGUCCAGAUCACACCGUCUGCCCAUGGAGGUUCUUGGCCCAUUCAUUACCCCACUUUGAUCACAUUGGAAAACAAACCCGUGGGAAGGGCAUGGCUGCAUUUGGUGCUAUGAGGCUUUUUGCCCUCUCUGAUUCCUAUCAGCAUCUGCUGCCUUCAUUUUGUGCUGCGGACAAAAAAAAAAAAAAAAAAAAGAGAAUUUUUACAUGAGCUGCAACUGGGUCUGAAAAUCCUCAGGCGCCCAGCACAUUUUGCACAGUUUAUAGCUUAUAAACGCGGUUGCGAUUUGCAAAACUUGCUGGUUAUUUGAAUUCCCAGCAUUUCUACCUGGGGAAAAGCAAAGUCUCCUGGCUGCCAUUAGAGAGCAUUUCAUUAGUGCAAGCAUUCACUAUUUAUAUUGUGAGCAGAAACACGCUGCUUGCUGACACAAAUAAAGUAUAAACCUCUCUCAUCCCAUUCCUGGCCAUUCCCACACCCGAGCACUGCACGCAGCGUGCUCCUGUGCUGCUGGAGGCAUUGCCUGCAUUUAAUGCCAACUUUGCUACCUUUGGAAAGCACCACUUGUUGCCUUCCAGCCUUCAAACGCCCAUUGUUCCCCAUCUGUUUGGAUGAACUUUCCCCAUGUAUGUUCAUCUGGGAUUUAAUCACGAUAAAACCGCAUACAAUGACAGAUUGUGGGCGAGCGAAAGGUGCCGGGUGAGCACAAUGCGGUGCUUCAGCCGCUGCCUCUGCGUGCUGUAGGGGAGUGAGAGCAAGGGGAGCCCAGCAGGCUCCAUGCAAGGGGUGAAUGCAGGUGGGCACUGUGUGGGCAGGAUGUGUCCUGGCUCCCCUGCUACCUGGCAGCCUCACAUCUGCGUCCACAUCUGUGUCCACAUCUGUGUCCACACUGCGUCUUCUGCUCCCAGCGCCUCUAGCACAAGAAGCUGCAAAUUGGAGGUAAAAUUAUUAUGGAAUGACUCUGAGGCUUUCCUCAAACUUGCAGACGUGGUCUUAUUUCUCUUGGCCUCUGCCACCAGCAACCGCCUGAGUCGCUGCUUUAGAGGAAAAGUGCACUUAGCUCUUCUGCGGCUACUGCUUCUCACCCAGGAACAUCCAAGGGUGUUUAAGAAUUCAUAGGGUGUGGAGUUUGGGGAUCAGAUGUUUUCCAUACUUUUUUGCUUGGAUUUUUACCCUUAUCUCAUGACAUCUGCACUCGUUGCUGAUGUGACCUACUUAGGAAAGUGCUGGCACCUGCAGCAGCGCUGCACGGCACAGCGUGGCACACCAUGGCAUAGCACAGCACGGCACAGCGUGCUGCAGCCCAUGAGCCCCAAACUGUGUGGAUGCACAGCAGGACACGGGCUGUUGGCAGCACCCAGCACUGCUCCCCAGCCUGAGCCUGGCGGAGCUGCUAACAUCAUUUUUAGGGUUUUUUCCAGGAAUGCGCUCCUCCGCGUCCACACUAUGAAAACAAAAGGCAAACAAGUUGCAGCAGACUUUCUCUUGCAAAAUGAAUUUGUCAAGCUCUGCUGCGUUUUGCUGAAGUGUAAGAAACUGAAAUAAAAGUGAUCAGAAAGUUAAGAACCUGGCUCCAGGGCAGAGCGCGGCGGGGAUUUCGCUGCCUGUUUGCUCUUCCCAACGCUGGAGGUGUGGGCAGGUUUCCUUGUUGCCAGAGGAAAUUAUUAAUGGCUCCAAGACCUUUCCAGACUGAUCUUCUCCCUUCCCCGUUGCAUUCUGCAGAUAAUACUUUGAUAACGUUUUGCAGACAGUAAUGAAAAUAGCUCAGGAAAUCACAUUUUGAGACAGCACUGGGGCUCUUCCUUUUAUUCCAUUCCAUUUAUCCAUAGGCUCUGGCAGCAAAUGGAAAUUCCCAGUGCCCCCCCUCCAGACAUAUUUCUGUCUGCAUUCGACUGAUUUUUCUACCCCAUCUCCUUCUGCUCUACGUGAUCUGUCAAUAUUGGGUAUCCCUUCAUUACACUUUCCCCCCCUUAGCGGCUGUUCUUUCUCACUGAUUUCUCCUCCCUUUACCAUUGCUGUUUUCAGGGUUUGCUUCGGUUCAGGACUGCUGUGCCUGAAAGCAAUGAGAACAGCCAUAUCUAUCACUGCAGAGCACUGUUUGCAUCAGCUCUGUUUUGGGGCUCCAGCUCCCCAUGCACUGCUUGCACUGCACAGCAAUUACCCGGCCGAGGUUGUCGGUGCAAUGAAGAGCUGUCAAUACUGCGUCUAUCGCAGAUGAGGCAUCUGCAGGUAUGGAUCAGAGCAAUCUGGCCAUUGAUUUUGAGAUUCUCACUCCUCUGAGGACAGUGACAAAUCCAUACGCUGUUCCCAGGUGAUGGGUAUUGCCUGUAGAUUCCUGAUUUCUUCAGGGUGUGUUGGUGUGAAGUGAGUGUCGGUCUCUCAGUGCCAGUGGGUAAAGCUUGAUUGGAAAAGUGGGCACAGACAGUACAGAGAAAACACUGCUGUGCUGCUGCAUCUCCUAUUUCGUGUUGAGUCAGCCCUCUGAAAGCCCUUUGUGCUGCAGAAGAUCCUGAGCAGGUAAGUGUGUCCUUACCGAAAAAGAAAGAUUUUCUUCCUGGGGGAGCCGGAGAGUCCUGUGAGGCCAUGUCUGUGUAUGUGGGUGCACAAAUGCAGUGAGCCUUCUGAACCUGCAGCCCUGCACAGCGUCCUGCUCCAUGGGACCACAGCCUGUUGGUGAGGAAUGGGGCAUCACCAUGCACACUGCCAGUGAUUGCUGGAAGCGUUACAUUUGGAUGGAGAAUGUCCUCACCCUUUGCUCCCUGUGAUGAUGUGUCAUGGAGACAAUCUUUCUUUAAAGCUCCUGAAACUUUUGACACUGAGCUCACUUUUAUAAAGCAGGAAAUGCUGGCAAAACGCAGGUCUGAUAAAGGAAAAAACCGAGGCGGAAAAAAUUGGGGCUGUUCAUUUUGUAACCAAAUGAAGGCCGAGAUGCUGCGAGCUCUCCCUUGUUGGGGGCACAUAACAACACCUGCUGGCACUGCCCAGCCAUGCAUUGCGGCCUCACUGGGUUGAGGUGAGGUGCCCAACUUUGUCCCUGCACAGAGCAGCCCUGUGCCACUCCGGCACGCAGAGGUUUCAGUGAGAGGGUGGAUUGGGCCCGCAGAGCGCUUAGCACACAUCCAACCGAAAAAGAUGUGACACUAUGAGCAGGGCACGUGUGAAAGUGUGAACGUGUGGCUGAGGCGGUGCGCGGGGUGUGCGUGCUGCGGGGCUGGGAGCAGCUGGGCCAGGGCCUGAGGGGCUCUCCUGGGGACAGCAUGGUGCCUUGUCCGUGUGUCUGCGUGCCUGUAUGCUUGUGUGUCUGUCUGUCUGCGUGUCCACGUCUGUAUGCUCACAUGGGGCAAGGAGAGGGGCAUCCCAGCUUCGUUUCUCCCCAUGAUGCGAUGGAACACCUGACCAGUGAAUCCUCACUCUGCAGGCUGACCCCAAAGACUGCCUUGAAGAGUCAGCCUUUCCCAGAGGGGAAAAAUCCUGCCGCCUUGCCCAAACCUGCUCAAACUCUCUGGGCUCCCAUUACCCGCUUACUGCAAGACUUUUGGCAGAGCCAUGAGCUGGGGGUGGGCUCAGCGCUGCUGUGGAUGAGCUUGGCCAUGGGGCCAGAGCCCAAGGUGGGCUGGCCCUAUCCUCUGCCUGCAUGGCUCCAUUCAACCAGCAGCCUGGGUCUCCUCCCCGCCUGUGGGUGAGCGUUGGAGCCGUUGGUAACGAACGAGUGCUGCCGUUCCCCUUGCCUUGGCUGCAGUAUUUUUAAAGCUUUUUAUUAAAAAUUAAUUUCUUAUUUUGUCGGAGACCCAUCGCUCGGUCACGUGGCUCCCUGUCAUGUUUCUAUCCUUCCUACUCAUAUUCGAGUUAUGCCAUCAAGCUAAUAUAUUGUGACUGCUCUUCUCUCUUGUGACAAAGCCUUGCAGCUGCCUCCAAAUCAAUAGAUGUCAAAGAAAUAUGAAAACAAUCAUGACAGAGAACUUAAAUCCUGGCUAGAGUCUGCAUAAUAAAAAAUGUGCUUCUGUUCUCAAGGCAGCGGAUUAAUUUAUCCGAAAGUUUAGUCAAAUUUUAUUCCAGUACCUUUUUCCCAGCAGAUAGAGCUACAUCUGUUGGGUUUGUAAUGUAAUUUGUAAUUACUGCCCUUCAUGUGGUCCAAUGCCUUGAACCAUCUUUAAUUAAAAGCAUAAUUAAGGGAAGAUCUAAAGGAAGACAAUUACCAGAUGGUCUUUUUUUUUUUUUUAGAAGCGGUUCGUUGCACGGGAGGGAACAGCCCGGUUCGCUUCGGACUCUGCUUCAGGGCCGGAGGGGUCGGGGGGGGUCCGGGCCGGGGCUCGGGGGCGGGCAGCCCCUGUCCCG